CGCUGGAGUUUUUCGAAACACAUGCAUUUUCUCGCUCUCCACUCUCCAUCAUCUCUGCAAGUCCCUUGUUCGCUUCCUACAUUUCCCACACUUCCUCAAAUUUUUGAUUUACCAAAACCCUAUUCUCAUCUUCAUUCCCUGAUUGUCCCAAAUUUCCGAAAAUCCUUUGAAAACCUAUUUCCAAAAUCCUUUGUUUCUUUGUCUUUUCUAAUCUCCAAAUUUCUUCUUCGAUUAACCUAGCCAUCACUUGUACCUUCACAGAGUAAACCCUAAAUCUAUUUUUCUUUUCUUACACAAUACCCAUUAUCGUCACAGAAAGAAGAGAGAAGAGAAUGAAGUUCAAACCUAGGGUUUCCUCUAGUCCGCGCAAGAGCGGCAAGGCGCAUUUCAUAGCACCGCCAAAGACCCUAGCACCCCCGCUGAUCUCAAAUUGGUGCAUUAGCAUUUUCAAUUUGUUUGAUAUUUUUGUGAAAUCUUGUUUUCGCGCUGAGAUUUUUGUUUUUGUAUUUUCUUUCCUUAAAUUGGUUGUGUAUAUGAAC
rnacentral:lncRNA from 1 species